AGCCCUAGAACCUAUCUAAGGUGCAACCUGCCCCAGUGAUUUUUAAUUAAAAACAAUUAACAGCUGUUUAAUUAAAUUAAAAGGAAGCGGUAACCUUGACUGUAAUAAUGUAGCACAAUCAUGCGCCAUUUAAUUGAUGGAUAGUAUGAAUGGUUUAACGAGCAUUUCACUGUCUUAAAAAGAAACAACUAUAAACUGGAAUAAUAGUUAAGAUACUAUUUAAAAUUGUAAGACGAAAAGACCCUAUAGAGCUUAACUACAAUCUCUAUUAAUACAAUUAUUAUACUAAUAACUUAACAUAGAGACAGGUAGUUUAAUUGGGGCGAUUAUCUUUUAAAUUAAACAAAGACAAGCAAUAUUAAUUAUUUAAUUUAUUGUAUAAUUCAUUAAUUUAACAAUUAUUACAAUAGGCAAUAAUGACCUAUUAGUUCAUUAUGAUAUGACUAAUAAUCAAUAAAUAAAAGCUACCUUAGGGAUAACAGAAUAAUUUUAUUCUAGAGACCUUAUCGAAAAUAAAGUUUAUUACCUCUAUGUUGAAUUAAGAUAUCCUGACGAUGCAGAAGUUGUCAAAGGUAGGUCUGUUCGACCUUUAAAAUCUUA
rnacentral:rRNA from 1 species